UACGAAGGGGGCUGGCGUUGCUCGGAAUCACUGGGCGUAAAGGGUGCGUAGGCGGGGCUUUAAGUCAGGGGUGAAAUCCUGGAGCUCAACUCCAGAACUGCCUUUGAUACUGAGGAUCUUGAGUUCGGGAGAGGUGAGUGGAACUGCGAGUGUAGAGGUGAAAUUCGUAGAUAUUCGCAAGAACACCAGUGGCGAAGGCGGCUCACUGGCCCGGAACUGACGCUGAGACGCGAAAGCGUGGGGAGCAAACAGG
rnacentral:rRNA from 1 species